GAUGAACGCUGGCGGCGUGCCUAAUACAUGCAAGUCGAGCGAACAGACGAGGAGCUCGCUCCUCUGACGUUAGCGGCGGACGGGUGAGUAACACGUGGAUAACCUACCUAUAAGACUGGGAUAACUUCGGGAAACCGGAGCUAAUACCGGAUAAUACAUUGAACCGCAUGGUUCAAUAGUGAAAGACGGUUUUGCUGUCACUUAUAGAUGGAUCCGCGCCGCAUUAGCUAGUUGGUAAGGUAACGGCUUACCAAGGCAACGAUGCGUAGCCGACCUGAGAGGGUGAUCGGCCACACUGGAACUGAGACACGGUCCAGACUCCUACGGGAGGCAGCAGUAGGGAAUCUUCCGCAAUGGGCGAAAGCCUGACGGAGCAACGCCGCGUGAGUGAUGAAGGUCUUCGGAUCGUAAAACUCUGUUAUUAGGGAAGAACAAAUGUGUAAGUAACUAUGCACGUCUUGACGGUACCUAAUCAGAAAGCCACGGCUAACUACGUG
rnacentral:rRNA from 1 species